rnacentral:rRNA from 1 species
UACGUAGGGUGCGAGCGUUGUCCGGAAUUAUUGGGCGUAAAGAGCUUGUAGGCGGUUUGUCGCGUCUGGUGUGAAAAUCCAGGGCUUAACCCUGGACCUGCAUCGGGUACGGGCAGACUAGAGUGCGGUAGGGGAGAUCGGAAUUCCUGGUGUAGCGGUGAAAUGCGCAGAUAUCGGGAGGAACACCAAUGGCGAAGGCAGCUCGCUGGGACGGUACUGACGCUGAGACGCGAAAGCGUGGGGAGCAAACAGG